AUCCAGCUGACGAGUCCCGAAUAGGUCGAAACGCGUGUCAAACUGGAU
rnacentral:hammerhead_ribozyme from 1 species